rnacentral:rRNA from 1 species
UACGGUAGGGGGCUAGCGUUGUCCGGAAUCAUUGGGCGUAAAGCGCGCGUAGGCGGCCCGGUAAGUCCGCUGUAAAAGUCCAGGGCUCAACCCUGGAAAGCCGGUGGAUACUGUCGGGCUCGAGUCCGGAAGAGGCGAGUGGAAUUCCUGGUGUAGCGGUGAAAUGCGCAGAUAUCAGGAAGAACACCUAUGGCGAAGGCAGCUCUCUGGGACGGUACUGACGGCUGAGACGCGAAAGCGUGGGGAGCGAACAGG